GUGCUCAGUUCAGCGGCAUAUACUAAAAUUGGAAUGAUACAGAUUAGCAUGGCCCCUGCACAAGGAUAACAUGCAAAUUUGUGAAGCAUUCCAUAUUUUU
ensembl:snRNA U6 U6 spliceosomal RNA